AAGAAAUUAACGAGGAUUUCCCCAGUAACGGCGAGUGAAAAGGAAAUAGUUCAGCGCUGAAUCCUUUAGUCUACGAUUAAAGGACCUGUAGCGUGAAGGAGAGCCUAUUUAAACGGUUUACGCUUCGGAAACUCCCUCGAAUGGGAUCCCAAAGCGGGUGCGAGGCCCGUAACGAGGCUACGCCGUUUAAUUUGAGCCUCCGUAGAGUCGGGUUGCUUGAGAGUGCAGCCCUAAGCGGAAGGUAAACCCCUUCUAAAACUAAAUAUGACCACGAGACCGAUAGCGAACAAGUACCGCGAGGGAAAGUUGAAAAGAACUUUGAAGAGAGAGUUCAAAAGGGCGUGAAACCGCUUAGAAUAAAACGGACGGAGCCGUCAGGAGCUCUCGAGACUCAGUCGUCUAAUAUGCGAAAGUGCGGCGUUCAGAAGAGCGUAAAGUCUUCGGCGUUGUACGUAGUACGCGGAUAGUCGGCGCAUUUCUCGAGAGUAAGCAUCGCAACCGGUACGAAAGGCUAGCGAGGCGAUCGGAUUGAAGUCUAGCUCCUUUACGGGCGCUAGUUACCAGUCCGUUCGCGCUUAAGUCGCUAGAUCGCAGUAUGUACCGAUAGCUUUCGAAUAAAAGAUACGUCGACCAUUAAGGUUCGUCGAACGGCGGAUAGUCGAUUAGUUCGAUCGGUUCCUGCUCGCAGGUAUCGGUCAACGUUUUAGUUGGCUCAGAAGUCGUCGACGACUCGACGUAUAGGCGUUUGCGGUGUCAGCGUCGGUCACCCGUCCGACCCGUCUUGAAACACGGACCAAGGAGUCUAACAUAUGCGCGAGCCAAUGGGCGGAAAACCCAAAGGCGCAAUAAAAGUAAAGAUCGUUCUCGGAGCGAUUAAGGUACGAUCCUGGACUAUUAUGUACGGUUUAGGCGCAGUACCGUCCCAUCCCUAAGGCAUGUCCUAAGGGUGGAGAUAGAGUGCAUACGUUGGGACCCGAAAGAUGGUGAACUAUGCCUGAGCAGAGCGAAGCCAGAGGAAACUCUGGUGGAGGUUCGUAGCGGUUCUGACGUGCAAAUCGAUCGUCAGACUUGGGUAUAGGGGCGAAAGACUAAUCGAACCAUC
rnacentral:rRNA from 1 species